GAGAGUUUGAUCCUGGCUCAGGAUGAACGCUAGCGACAGGCUUAACACAUGCAAGUCGAGGGGCAGCACAGGUAGCAAUACCGGGUGGCGACCGGCGCACGGGUGAGUAACGCGUAUGCAACUUACCUAUCAGAGGGGGAUAACCCGGCGAAAGUCGGACUAAUACCGCAUGAAGCAGGGGCCCCGCAUGGGGAUAUUUGCUAAAGAUUCAUCGCUGAUAGAUAGGCAUGCGUUCCAUUAGGCAGUUGGCGGGGUAACGGCCCACCAAACCGACGAUGGAUAGGGGUUCUGAGAGGAAGGUCCCCCACAUUGGUACUGAGACACGGACCAAACUCCUACGGGAGGCAGCAGUGAGGAAUAUUGGUCAAUGGGCGUAAGCCUGAACCAGCCAAGUCGCGUGAGGGAUGAAGGUUCUAUGGAUCGUAAACCUCUUUUAUAAGGGAAUAAAGUGCGGGACGUGUCCCGUUUUGUAUGUACCUUAUGAAUAAGGAUCGGCUAACUCCGUGCCAGCAGCCGCGGUAAUACGGAGGAUCCGAGCGUUAUCCGGAUUUAUUGGGUUUAAAGGGUGCGUAGGCGGCCUUUUAAGUCAGCGGUGAAAGUCUGUGGCUCAACCAUAGAAUUGCCGUUGAAACUGGGGGGCUUGAGUAUGUUUGAGGCAGGCGGAAUGCGUGGUGUAGCGGUGAAAUGCUUAGAUAUCACGCAGAACCCCGAUUGCGAAGGCAGCCUGCCAAGCCAUGACUGACGCUGAUGCACGAAAGCGUGGGGAUCAAACAGGAUUAGAUACCCUGGUAGUCCACGCAGUAAACGAUGAUCACUAGCUGUUUGCGAUACAGUGUAAGCGGCACAGCGAAAGCGUUAAGUGAUCCACCUGGGGAGUACGCCGGCAACGGUGAAACUCAAAGGAAUUGACGGGGGCCCGCACAAGCGGAGGAACAUGUGGUUUAAUUCGAUGAUACGCGAGGAACCUUACCCGGGUUUGAACGCAUUUCGACCGCUCUGGAAACAGAGCCUCUAGCAAUAGCGAUUUGCGAGGUGCUGCAUGGUUGUCGUCAGCUCGUGCCGUGAGGUGUCGGCUUAAGUGCCAUAACGAGCGCAACCCUUGCCACUAGUUACUAACAGGUGAUGCUGAGGACUCUGGUGGGACUGCCAGCGUAAGCUGCGAGGAAGGCGGGGAUGACGUCAAAUCAGCACGGCCCUUACAUCCGGGGCGACACACGUGUUACAAUGGCGUGGACAAAGGGAAGCCACCUGGCGACAGGGAGCGAAUCCCCAAACCACGUCUCAGUUCGGAUCGGAGUCUGCAACCCGACUCCGUGAAGCUGGAUUCGCUAGUAAUCGCGCAUCAGCCAUGGCGCGGUGAAUACGUUCCCGGGCCUUGUACACACCGCCCGUCAAGCCAUGGGAGCCGGGGGUACCUGAAGUCCGUAACCGCGAGGAUCGGCCUAGGGUAAGACUGGUGACUGGGGGUAAGUCGUAACAAGGUAGCCG
rnacentral:rRNA from 1 species